AACAGGGAUUGCCCUAGUAACGGCGAGUGAAGCGGCAACAGCUCAAAUUUGAAAUCUGGCUCUUUCAGAGUCCGAGUUGUAAUUUGCAGAGGGCGCUUUGGCUUUGGCAGCGGUCCAAGUUCCUUGGAACAGGACGUCACAGAGGGUGAGAAUCCCGUACGUGGUCGCUAGCUAUUGCCGUGUAAAGCCCCUUCGACGAGUCGAGUUGUUUGGGAAUGCAGCUCUAAAUGGGAGGUAAAUUUCUUCUAAAGCUAAAUAUUGGCCAGAGACCGAUAGCGCACAAGUAGAGUGAUCGAAAGAUGAAAAGCACUUUGGAAAGAGAGUCAAACAGCACGUGAAAUUGUUGAAAGGGAAGCGCUUGCAGCCAGACUUGCUUGCAGUUGCUCAUCCGGGCUUUUGCCCGGUGCACUCUUCUGUAGGCAGGCCAGCAUCAGUUUGGGCGGUGGGAUAAAGGUCUCUGUCACGUACCUUCCUUCGGGUUGGCCUUAUAGGGGAGACGUCAUACCACCAGCCUGGACUGAGGUCCGCGCAUCUGCUAGGAUGCUGGCGUAAUGGCUGUAAGCGGCCCGUCUUGAAACACGGACCAAGGAGUCUAACAUCUAUGCGAGUGUUUGGGUGUCAAGCCCGAACGCGUAAUGAAAGUGAACGGAGGUGGGAACCCGCAAGGGUGCACCAUCGACCGAUCCUGAAGUUUACGGAAGGAUUUGAGUAAGAGCAUGGCUGUUGGGACCCGAAAGAUGGUGAACUAUGCUUGAAUAGGGUGAAGCCAGAGGAAACUCUGGUGGAGGCUCGCAGCGGUUCUGACGUGCAAAUCGAUCGUCAAAUUUGGGCAUAGGG
rnacentral:rRNA from 1 species